rnacentral:rRNA from 1 species
GAGUUUGAACCUGGCUCAGGAUGAACGCUGGCGGCAUGCCUAAUACAUGCAAGUCGAACGAAACUUCUUUAUCACCGAGUGCUUGCACUCACCGAUAAAGAGUUGAGUGGCGAACGGGUGAGUAACACGUGGGCAACCUGCCCAAAAGAGGGGGAUAACACUUGGAAACAGGUGCUAAUACCGCAUAACCAUAGUUACCGCAUGGUAACUAUGUAAAAGGUGGCUAUGCUACCGCUUUUGGAUGGGCCCGCGGCGCAUUAGCUAGUUGGUGGGGUAAAGGCUUACCAAGGCAAUGAUGCGUAGCCGAACUGAGAGGUUGAUCGGCCACAUUGGGACUGAGACACGGCCCAAACUCCUACGGGAGGCAGCAGUAGGGAAUCUUCCACAAUGGGCGAAAGCCUGAUGGAGCAACGCCGCGUGGGUGAAGAAGGUCUUCGGAUCGUAAAACCCUGUUGUUAGAGAAGA